rnacentral:rRNA from 1 species
GGCUCAGGAUGAACGCUAGCGGCAGGCUUAACACAUGCAAGUCGAGGGGCAGCGCGGGGUAGCAAUACUCUGGCGGCGACCGGCGCAAGGGUGCGUAACGCGUGAGCAACUUGCCCGUUCAGGGGGAUAACCGGUGGAAACGCCGACUAAUACCCCAUAGUAUCAGAUGAAGGCAUCUUUAUCUGAUUAAAGAAAUUCGGAAACGGAUAGGCUCGCGUGACAUUAGCUAGAUGGCGGGGUAACGGCCCACCAUGGCGACGAUGUCUAGGGGUUCUGAGAGGAAGGUCCCCCACACUGGAACUGAGACACGGUCCAGACUCCUACGGGAGGCAGCAGUGAGGAAUAUUGGUCAAUGGUCGGAAGACUGAACCAGCCAUGCCGCGUGCAGGAAGAAUGUCUUAUGGAUUGUAAACUGCUUUUGUAUGGGGCUAAUAAUAACUUUGCGAAGUUAGAUGCAGGUACCAUACGAAUAAGGAUCGGCUAACUCCGUG